UGUGGGAGCGGGCUUGCCUGCGAUUGCGGUGUAUCAGCCAAUCAAUAGUUGGCUGAAUGAUCGCUAUCGCGGGCAAGCCCGCUCCCACA
rnacentral:misc_RNA from 1 species